rnacentral:lncRNA from 1 species
GUUUUUUUUUGCAAGCUGUAGAUGAAAGUGGAUUUACCGCCUCUGACUCUUCGACUUUUCCCUGGUGAGUGCAUAAUUUUGACAGCCGCGACAAAACUAAUUGAUUUGUGAAAUCCACUAAGCCGAGGGCCUCUGCUUCCUGGACACACACAUUGAGUCGAUGGGGGGAAAACGGUGCCCGAUUCCCGAGAGCAUGUGGUCGCUGAUUGGGUGAUCAGCAACACGACAAGGACUCUGACAAGGACUCCACGCUGGCUGACAUUAUGGUUUCAUUGCCAAAACCACACUUAGGCGAGAGCUUCACGCUUGAGGUGACUGCUACGCCUGCCUCAUUAACCAUAGAACAGAUCUAUUGAAAACUAUGGGAAAUGCAUAAGCGAAUUCCAAGUAGACACCGUGGCCACAGACAAUGUCCAUGUAAUUUUCAAUUAACGCCACAAGAUCUCCUCUGCCUCCUCGCCUCCCUUCGAGGACGAACUUCUUUGGCCAAAAACUGAAACCCAAAGCGAAACUUUCGCCCAUUUCGUUCCACUGCUGGACAGCAUUGAGUCUCAUAAUUGAUCGUAAUGUGCGAUAUUUCUCCUCACUGCACGCUGUCAACAGGCUCGACGAUUGUCACAUGGCUGGGCCCGAGGCUGGACACCAGCAGGACAUCGGCAUUUGUCGCGCUCUGCGAGUCCUCGUCCUCGUCCUCGCACUUUGCCUUUCUGCCACUGUCCCCUGUGGGCCUGGCUGUCGACAGGAUACGAAACCUCGCUCUCGGUCCGCAUUUUAUGGCCAAACAAUGCCCAUGAUCGAUCUAUCCAUUCUAUCUAUCCAUCUUUACAGGCCUCAAAAAUCAAGCGAUUUUUUAUGCAUCCAGUGCGAAACGCUUCAAUGCCUGGCACUAAUCAGAGGCCGCUCUCUACUACCUCUUUCCCCUAUCCUUUGGGUAUUUUCUUUGUAAAUCUUAGUUUAUUGAUAAAUCUUGUGACAAUCCUAGAUUUUGAAUGAAUCCCCCCGCUUCUUAACUUCUUAGGUAGCACCAUCCCGACCGGAUUUAAGUCUAUUUUCGCCUUUAUGAUCUGCCUUCACUUUUACGGCUGUCACUUGCCACAGGUACGAGUACGCCGCAAACUUUGCAAAGUUUAUGGGUGCACAAAGGGUACACCACAGGUAGUGGUCGAGGGUGUGGUGCAAAUAUUUAGGAACCCAUUGUGAAGGAAGAAUUAAAUGUAUUAUUUUGUAGCUCGCUGAGUGGCAGGCGAGAAAUUAAAUUAAAAGUUAUAGGGGGAGAAUUCGAAAGAUUUAAGGGUCGAAUUGCUCAAAACAAAGCGUAAAUUUCAUCUUAAUACAACUUUAAUAUUAUACAAAAAUUGUAGAUAAUUUUGAAGCCCGAGAAGACUGAACGCUCGUCUUGAACCUCCCAUGCAGAAAUUCUCCAUCAGAAUAUGCUUAAAAAUGCAUUAAACUUUAUUCAAGAGUGCAUUAGAAAUUCUUUUGAAUUAGUUUUGAACGAUUUUGGCUGUCAACUCUCUUUGGUUGUGGCUUCAUAUUCAAUUAAAUCAAGAACUUUUCUAUGCAAUUAAGUUGUCAGGAAAUAAAUGUUUAUUUGGGAGCAAAAAUACAAAUGAAUAUAAAUAUUAUUCCCCAGCUUGAGGAACAUUUUGAGCCUUCAAGGAGAACCCUCCCUUUGGUGCAGUUGGUACAGUUACCACUUGGUGCUACCCCGAUCCCGAAUCCCGAAUCCGAUGCCGAUUCUGACACACACAAAGAGCGACGUCUUACUCCACACACACUCAGGCAAACACACGCUAGUGGGAGAGAGAAACGAACCCAAUGGCUGGCUGGACAUGGUGCUGCUACUAACGAGCAAUUAUCGCCAGCUCCCAGGCGUUGUUUCACGAUUUCACACGCCCAGCGAGAGUGAGAGACGCAUAGAGUGAUUUCAAAAGAGCGUGAGAGAGGGAGAGAGAGCCAAAACCCUGCGAGAUAUCCUGUAUAGAAGGCAGCAAAUCCUCAUCACGCAUUUGCUACGCUUUGGGGGGGAGUCCAGCCAGCCAGCCAGCCAGCCAGCAGCAUGGAAACCUGCAAAAGGCAAACACACAAAAAUACACACAAAUACAAAGUCAAACUGAACACACAGAUACACAAUACAGAUGCAGAUGUGUGUGUUGUUGCUGCAUAUUGUUAGGACACAAUGGAUGAAAAUAUUUUCGUCCUGUUGUCAAAUGAUUGCAUUUAAUGUAUCGAAAUCUGCGUGACGAAUCAAUUUAGUUCUGGCAAGCUGCAAUGGGAAAAAACGAGAAAUGGAAUCGGUAGAGGGAUUGGGAUCGGGAUCGGGAUCGGGAUCGGGCAUGGCAACCAGUUGCCUUUAUAAUUCGAUCAACUAUGGGUUAGAUAUCUCUGUUUCUGUGUCUGUUUGGUCAGCCAUUUGCCUUGCAUCCUGUCUGGCACAUGGCGCAGACCGCAGAGACAACUUAAUCAAUAAGUUUCACUCUGCAGCGAAGGCUGCGAAAUAUUUUUUAUGUGGAACCAAUGGGUUUUAGUUCUCGUUACAGUGGGUGUUGUCAGGCAAGUAGCUGUGCCACGAUCAUGGUUCUCCCUAGCGAUCCUUUGGGCAUUUUACGAUCUGUCCCUAAUUCGGCUCUUGGCUUGCCCAUAAAGUUGUCAAAGAGGAGUUGCUGAAGUUCUUCAAUUGCUCAUGGCAGCCAGCUGUUGUCAUAUGUGUGGGGCGGAGCCAGAACCUACUUGAGAGAAACUUAAACACAUAUGGAAAACAAAUAAAAUACAUUUUAAACGCUUGAAAAGACGAGGUGUGGGCUCUGGAGAGGGGCUGCCUGUUCUGACAGCUCAAAUUAUGGUGAGAUUAGAGGACAGGCAAGGGAGUUGGGGAGUGCUAAUAGGGGGCUAUUGUGAGCUUUAUUGAUAUUGGGGUACAAGAUCUGGGUACAAGAUUUCAUGAAUUUAAUUAAAUAUAUUCAUUUAUUUCCAAUUAUUCCUUCCUUGGCAGGCUCCCACCAUAUCAUAAUCAGCUCGUAACAAUCUCUUUAUAAGCCCAGCCUCAUUGUCACAAUGUUUUUCCACCUCUUGCUGUUUUCUCACCUCCGUUGGACACUUUUCUUGCAUUGAUUUGCCAGCGCAUUAUCGCUUGAUCUCUUAACUGAUCUCCACAUAUCGAUUACAGUGACAGUGCUAGAAAAAGUAUCCCUUACAAAAGUGAGUUGUUCCCCGAAAACCCAUUAACCCGAUUGUGUGCCAAAUGUGACAACAUAAUCCACAUAGAGACGAGAGGGAAAUCUCAUUGGGUAGCUCCAUCUCCCUCAUCAGCGUCGUGAUUUUCGUCUAAUCUUGUGAUUUGUACAAAAACAAAAACAUUUGACAACAUUAUCAAGGCGUCGGCAAAGAUGACAACCGCCGCACUAAAAAGGAUCCAUAGAGAAGCAGAAGCUACAGAGGAUUGGGAGUGGGGCAGCCAAGACCAAAAGAAGCCACCGACGCGUAUUGUUGUCAACGUGCCGAAAGGUGGCAAGGUGGAAAUAGAGCUGUAACCAACUCAAAAUGUCACCUGAAAAGCAAAGCAAAAGAAGCAGCCGUUCGACCAAUCCAAAGGCUAGAAGAAAAAGGACAUGGAUCGAGCGAACGAUCGACCGAUCGACCGAUCGAUGGACCGACUUUGAUGCCUUUGUGCUGGGCCAGGACACAUUUUAUCACAUUGUCAUUGCGGACAUUGCGGACAGAACUAGAAAGCAGCCGCCAAGCCAGCAAAUGUCUCAAUUAUUCCUUUUCUUUUCUUUUCUUUCUUUAGACUGACUUUGGGAAACAGGCAACGCCUCGAUGAUGACUCUGAACAUUGUGUGCACGUUGCUCCUCAGCGGGCGAUCCUUGAUUUAUGCGACGGCGAUCCUUGAUCCUGGAGCCCCAGUCAGCCAGCAGCACACGCAAUCAAAGGAUCAGACAGAGCCACCGCAUGUAUAUAUGUAUGUAUGAGUAUAUAUGUCUGUAUAUAAUCACCACAAAUGAUCGCAGCGCGUGCAAAAUGUUUGAGGCAACAGCGGCAUGGCGUGGCGUGGCGUGGCGUGGCGUGGCGUGGCAUCCCCUGCCUGCCUGAUCUUAAGCCAACAACAAACGAUUCCGAUUCAAAUACAAAACAACACAAUUAAACAGUCAAAAAGAAGGAAUUUCGGAGCAUGCAGGAGAGGUAGAAGGAGCCAUAAGCGGAUUGCUGCCUGAGUUUCGUUCGUUCUUCCUUUAAUAGUCUUAAAAAUUGAUUCCUUUUUGGCCUUAUUGAAAUGAGCAGCAGCCGAACGAUGGCCCGUUUCUGUUGCUGUUGCUGUUGCUGUUGCCGUUGCCGUUGCCGCCUUUUGUGUGUCGGUUUGGACGUGUUAACACAGCAAUUAACUUUUUACAACGGCUGCUAAAGAGCAAGAAUUUAUGUUUGAUUUAUGCAGCAACAGGAUAUGUCAAAAGGAUCUACAAGGAACAACACACAAAAAACAGCUUGCAACAGCUGGCAAAAUGUGUUGUCUAAUGGGAUCGAGGUAUGCCCGAUGAUGAUCGGUUUAUGGAGCGGUCAGAAAUUGGAUUGUGUCUUAAGAAUAUAUGAGUCAAGGAUAUGGAUAAGGGAUUGCCAUGGCAGUGCAGCUUAUGUCGAGAAAAUCGGACUCUGGAAUGAAGAUUAGAAGAUCUUUCAACAAUUACUAAGCAAAACUGGUGCGAAAAUAGGUCCAAAUAUUUAUGAAUUAUAUCUUGUAUAAUCUUAAC